rnacentral:rRNA from 1 species
GAUGAACGCUGGCGGCGUGCUUAACACAUGCAAGUCGAACGAUGAAGCCCAGCUUGCUGGGUGGAUUAGUGGCGAACGGGUGAGUAACACGUGAGUAACCUGCCCUUAACUCUGGGAUAAGCCUGGGAAACUGGGUCUAAUACCGGAUAGGAGCGUCCACCGCAUGGUGGGUGUUGGAAAGAUUUAUCGGUUUUGGAUGGACUCGCGGCCUAUCAGCUUGUUGGUGAGGUAAUGGCUCACCAAGGCGACGACGGGUAGCCGGCCUGAGAGGGUGACCGGCCGCACUGGGACUGAGACACGGCCCAGACUCCUACGGGAGGCAGCAGUGGGGAAUAUUGCACAAUGGGCGCAAGCCUGAUGCAGCGACGCCGCGUGAGGGAUGACGGCCUUCGGGUUGUAAACCUCUUUCAGUAGGGAAGAAGCGAAAGUGACGGUACCUGCAGAAGAAGCACCGGCUAACUACGUG